AUAAUACUCCCUUCGUUAGGAAUUAUUUAUCAUACAAAUUGAUGUAUUUAGAACUAAAAUACAUCUAGAUACAUUCAUUUAUAUGACAAGUAUUUUCGGACGAAGGAAGUAUUUU
rnacentral:pre_miRNA from 1 species